UCAGGUUUUUCAUAACAGAGAUCUUGUUGAGACAGAAGGACAGAGAUGUGAGAAACUUCUCAAGGC
rnacentral:lncRNA from 1 species